GAUGAACUUCGUGGAUGCAGCAGAAUCGACUUAGCAUCUUCUGUCCAAAAAUGGUCACUAUCAAGAUUUGCUAAACCGUUGUAGAGAGUGCUCAAGCUUCCAAAGGCGGGUGCAUCGUCUCCGUAGUGCUUCUUCAAGAUUCUCACGAUCGUUCCGAGUGGCAAUGUGAGAAAGCUCAGCAACACAUCUGCAAAGCUGCCGUCAACUUCUGCAAAUAGAACCUU
rnacentral:lncRNA from 1 species